GUUCCAAUAGUGUAGCGGUUAUCACGUUGUCCUCACACGACAAAGGUCCCGAGUUCGAUCCUCGGUUGGAACA
rnacentral:tRNA from 1 species